rnacentral:rRNA from 1 species
CUGCUGCCUUCCGUAGGAGUCUGGGCCGUAUCUCAGUCCCAAUGUGGCCGGCCAACCUCUCAGUCCGGCUACUGAUCGUCGCCUUGGUAGGCCGUUACCCUACCGACUAGCUAAUCAGACGCGAGUCCAUCUCUCAGCGAUAAAUCUUUGGUAUCCAUACCAUGCGAUACAGAUACGUUAUGCGGUAUUAGCAGUCGUUUCCAACUGUUGUCCCCCUCUGAAAGGCAGGUUACUCACGCGUUACU